UUUUUUCUCUACUCUCGUUUUCAACUCAAAAAAAAAGAAGGAAAAAAAAA
rnacentral:sRNA from 1 species